rnacentral:rRNA from 1 species
CGUCGCCGCGGUAAUACGGAGGGCGCGAGCGUUACCCGGAUUUACUGGGCGUAAAGGGCGUGUAGGCGGCCUGGGGCGUCCCAUGUGAAAGGCCACGGCUCAACCGUGGAGGAGCGUGGGAUACGCUCAGGCUAGAGGGUGGGAGAGGGUGGUGGAAUUCCCGGAGUAGCGGUGAAAUGCGCAGAUACCGGGAGGAACGCCGAUGGCGAAGGCAGCCACCUGGUCCACUUCUGACGCUGAGGCGCGAAAGCGUGGGGAGCAAACCGGAUUAGAUACCCCCGUAGUCCCUGUCUCUUAUACA